rnacentral:misc_RNA from 1 species
AAAAAAAAAAAAAAGGAUCUAAGCAGUUGCAGGUAAAAUGCUAAAUAACUAGAUCAAGAAUUCGCAACAGUUGCCGAAGACACCUACUUUUAAGCUCCUUUCUUCCUUCUCUCCCAUCUUGACUUGAAAAUGCCAGAGUCCAUCAACUGAAACUGUUCCCAGAUCAAUUCCUCAACUAAUUACACAUUUCUGUUCUUAUUAAGGGAAACUUGGGGUUAUUCCAUGAGGCCUAGGUGCUAUAAGCAAAGGCGGAUUCUUUGUUCUUCCCUCUCUUCACCUGUUAUUGUUGAUGAUUGACCGCCUCUUUCUGCCAUACGUUUUUUAUAUGGCACAAAUCCUUUCACACACUUAUUUGUAGAAGCUGAUUUCUCACUUGGUUUCAGCUCAAGAACCGUGUGUGGUUCUUUUUCCUCAUAAGAAAGUUGAGGACUCUGGGUCUCGCCAUCUAUAUUUUUAUCUACAUUUUCCCCCUCAUUUACUGAUCCAGAGUUAGA